AUUACUGAAUAACAUGGACAUAAAAGUAGCUAACUUAGUUAAAAGUAACUUAUCUUUAACUUUUUAAAUUGCUAAUGCCCAGCCUUGGUUACUUGUACUCCGUUCUUGGUUUUUCUCCAACAAUUUAUUUAAUAUGCAAAAUUUGCUUCUGGACGGUAAAUAAUUUUGUUUUGAUAUUGAGUGUAGUAUAGUAAAAAAAGUGUGACUUUUAAUUAGGAAAAUUGCAACUAUAUCUACAAAAAGUAGAAAAAUACAAAAAAAUUACGUUUUAACCAAAAAUUACUGAAAAAAUGCAAUAAAUGCAAAAUAAAAUUGGUACACCACAUUGCAUUUUACAUAAUAUAAGCUGAAUUCACCUAAAGAGUGUUGUAUAAAAGUUUUAGGAAAAAAUCUUUAAAUGCAUCAAGUACAAAAUACUUAUAAUAUACUAAUAAUAUAAUAACUAAUUGUUUGAUGUUAAUUUUUUUACAUUAUAAUAAAGUCAUUAUGUGUAAAAAAAAACUACCGAUUUUGGAAUAAAAAUUAAAUUUUAAUUUCAAUUGACACACAUGAUUUUGUAUUAAAUUACUUGUAAAAAAUUGUCCAUAGACACGUGUGUUAUCAACGUAAGGUCGGUAAACUAUCCUGAAAGCUCGUACUGCCAUAUCUAUAUGUACUGCAGUCACCCUGGAUACAAAAGUUUUAAGCUUAUUGUUGAACCUCAAAUAAACAGCAGGUAUGUUUUGAUCAAUGUGUGGAGUACCAGCUUACAUUACUACUAUAAUCCUGAUUAUGCGCUAACAAAACAUGUCGGAGGUAUAGAAAGAGACUUGGUCAGAGGAACGUUGAAAAAGACGAAAGUAUUUACUUACGACGAUGAAGCGGUAAAAUCUGCUUUGCCGAGCAAGCAUGCCUAAGGUAACAAUCAAAAUGUUAAGUCGGUCGACGUACUAAGACGAAUUCGAUCGGAAGCAAUAAGUGCUGAUGCCUAUGACAGAGACGAUAUGGUAGACAUGUUGUUGAUGUAUUCUGAAAAUAGUAAUUAUAUAAAACAUGUUGGUUUACCUUCAUAUGUACAUUGUUAUAGUUAUGAACAGUUGAAUCUACUUACAAAAUUGAAAUCUAAAUGCAAAGGAAUGAUAAUUGGUUAUUUGGAAUGCUACGGGUUCUGUAGUAAGAAAAGCUAGCGACAAUAACAAAAGAGUACUGUAUUAUGCUGUAGUGGUGAACGCUCCACUACCAGGGAAAUUUAGCAUUACCUGUCCAAUAGUAGAAAUGAUCAGCUCGUCACAUGACAUAGUAGCGAUCUGCAAAAUGUUGAAGUUUUGACAUGCGAAUUAGUGAGCUCCUUGUUGGCAAAAAGAGAUGUCGGUGAAGAUAUGGAUCGAAAGAUUGUCAUUGAAGAGAACGGUAUAGUUCAGGGGUGGCGAACCUAUGGCACGCGUGCCAGAAGUGGCACGUUGACCAAAUUUAAGUGGCACGCAAAUAUUAUUCAUCUUAAAAAAAAAUAUUAUAUUUUAAAACUUUAGUAUGAGAAAUUUUAAGAAUUAAAUUUAUAAGUUUGUAAUAAAAUGUGUUUAUAAAUGUUAUAAUAAAUAAUAUUUAUGAUUUUUGUACUCUUAUAUUGCUACGAUAGAAGUACAAAGUACUCAACAUUCGAUUACGAAGUUUAUUUUAAAUUUAUAGAUACCGCGACCGGUUGCGACCGGUUGAAAUCAACGAAAAAUUCUAAAUUAGAUGAAAAUAUAAACAAUUUUUAAGUAUCAUAAAAUUAACAAUUCAGCAGUUCAAUAACAAGUUUAUAGAUUUUAAAAAGUUUGAAUGUAAUAUUAAGUUCCUCAAAUGCCCUGAUACUUGCAAUUACGAUGAAUUAGAUUUACAUUAUUUUGAAUGGAUGAAUAUAAAUAAGUACAUUUGAAUUUGAGUUAAUUGAUCUUCAAUCCUGUAAUACGUGGAAACAAAAAUUCAUUGACUUAAGACAACUAAUCGAAGAAAUAGAAAUCAACCGACUUCAAGCAAACAUAGUAAAAAAAUGCAGAUACUGAAAUUCUUAAAGUCUGGAAUCCGUUUCCAAACAUAUUUAAUACAUUAAAAAAAGUUGCUCAUUCUAUCCUAUCGAUUUUUUCGUCAACUUAUGCUUGUGAAAGUUUAUUCUCCAUAAUGAAUUUAAUAAAAACGAAGCAGAGAAAUACAUUAAUCGAUGAAACUAGUGCUGCUUGUGUUUCACUGAAAACUACCAACUAUACUCCAGAUAUUAAAAUGUCGUCUUCUAAAAACCAACAUCAGAAAUCACAUUAAUAAAUGAAAUAAAACUUUACAUAUAUACUAUUUAUUUAUUAUUUAUUUAUUAAAUUAUAUAGUAUAUACCUAAUAAAAUGUGUGUAAUUAUUGCAUGCUUUUUCUUUUCAUCUUACCUAGUAAAAUUCAUUUUUUUUGUUGGUGGCACGCAAACAUAUUUCAAAAAACUUGAUUUUAAAUUUUGGCACUUGACCCAAAAAAGGUUCGCCACCCCUGGUAUAGUUAUUUAACCAUGGCAUAUUAACAAAAAACAUUGGAUUGUUGCCAUUGUUGAUUUUAACACUAAUGAAUGUAGGAUCCGGGAUCUCAUAAAACUAAUUGAUGUAGAUAAAAGAAUACAUGAAAACCGUUUCAAACACUUGUACACAGAAAUGAAAAAAAAUUGUAUCUACGGUGACAAAAAACAUUUUCCAUUAUUAAAUUUAAUAUCAUGUUCUGAGGAAAAUAUACCAUUUCAGACAAAUGGAUAUAACUGUGGAGUUUUUGUAAUAUAUUAUGUGUAUACUAUCAUAAGUAAAUCAGAUUUUAAUCCUCAUUUCAAUCAUGUGGAGUACAGAAAUUAUCUAAAAAAAUUUCUUUUGGAAAAAUCUGAGGAAAUUACCUAUAUGUGCCUUUACUGCAACACCUUAUCAAACAGACACCGAUGCGAGGGAGACCAAAGUGUUGUGGAAUGGGUGUCAUGCACACGGUGUUGUAGAUGGAUUGCCAUAAAUUGCAUCCCCGAAGGAGAUAGGAUUGAUGACUAUGAGUGAUUUUCUGUGUCUAUUAUGCCAGUAGAACAGGUAAAAAAAAAAUAUACAUCAAUUCAGAAACCAGCCUACCAAGUAUGUUCUCCAGUUGUUUCAUCUCAAAAACGUUUAAUUAAUUUAGGUAACAUACAAUAUUUAGUAGUUAUUAAUGAUGUUACAGUUAUUUAAUUUCAAUAUUUAACUAUUAUAGAGUCAAUAUUAGUCAGUACACCAUCCCAAAAAAUUAAAAAAUGUCUUGGUACUUUUAAUGAUUCAAUUUCACCUUUACUCAGUACCUCAAGGGAUUCAAGUAAUAUAUUUUUAAUUUAUGCAAGUUAUGUUUAAGUUAAGUAAUUUAUAUGAUUUUAUUAAGAUAUAAAAACUCGGAACUCAAUGUUCCACAAUUGUCUUUAUUAUCGCCAAAUUUAUUUGAAGAUAUUGGUCUUGAUAUUAAUCAGUUACCCUUUGAAAUUGAACCAGGUACUUUUAUUAUUUUGAAUUUCAAUUGAUAAUUUUGUUUAGCUUGUAAUUUAUAUUAUCAUCAUUUUAUAAGGCUCUAAAAAAACAAUGAUAAUACAUCAGAUUUCAUUUCAAUAGCAGAAGUUAACAGUUUGCAAAAUAAUUUUAAAUAAUGAUGGUAUAUUCCUAAUUAAAUUUUAAUAGUCAGGUAUUAAAAACAAUUGUAUUUUAUUUCAGGACCAUUUAACAGUUAUGAAUCCCAAAUAUGGUUAAUUAAAUCUAUUACCCAACUUAAAAGUGACAUUUCAAUUAUAAAGACAAGUCUGUAAAUGCUAAUAACCAACUUUUAAAACAACUUCUUUUUGAUAAUCAUUUAGAAAAUGAUUUAGAACUUGAUAAACUCAUUUUACAAUUUCCUAUUGGGAACAAAACUAGUUUAUUUGAAAUCGAAGAAAAGCUGACUACUGACAAUAUUGCAAAUAAAUAUUUGUGACUACAAACAAAGCAUUUUUAGUCUUAUGAGAUUUCUAUUAUCCAAUGAACUGGCAACAAAAAUUACGUUUUUUGGGAAAACUUCCAAACUCGCAUCUGCUUCAUUAAAACGAUAUGCAAUUUUAAAGUUUUGUUAAAAAAUAAUGCAGAAGUUACAAUAAAAAAAAAUACAAGAACCAAUACAAAGCUGGUUACGGCAUCCAAAUGAAAGAUUUACUAAACAAAAAUCAGCAAAAUAUUGUAGAGAAUGAAAAAAAUUUAAAGUUGUCGUAGAUGUACCUUGUAAAGAACAUACAAAUUAUAAAAUACUGAAUUGUUAUUAUUUUUUUUAAUUUAUGAAUUCAUAUUACCAUAAUUUAAAAAUAUAUAAUUUAUGUGAUCUAUUUUUAAAUUUUUUGUUUACCAUAUUAUUUGACUGACUGUUCAUUUAUACUAAAUUAUAAUUAUUUUUUUUAAAAUAUGAAUUCAUGUACAUGAUUUAAAUAUUUGUUACCCUGUGACAAUAUAUACUUUGACUAUGUGAUAAUUGUAAGGCUGUUGUAUACUCUUAUACUAAUCAAAUGAAUGUUAUUUUAUUGUAUAACUAUUACUGUCAUAGUAACAUUUUUAAUUAAAUAUUGUUUUUGUCAUUAGUUACUAUAAUACCGUAAUAAUUAUACCUAAACAGAUUAUUUAUUACGUUUUUUUUUUCAUACAUUUUUAUUUAUACUGAGUAUUAAGAUUAAGUAGUUACAAAUCUUAUAGUUUCAAUCGGUUAUUUAUGAAUGGGGCUUAAAUGUAUUAAUCAUAAAUAGUAACUUUUUCAGACUUAAAUUUAUUAAACUUUUAUCGUGUUGAAUAAACUAAAUGUUUGAAUCACGAUUAAAUUAAAGUAAUUAUAUACACUGAAAAAUAAAAACAAUUUAUAUACUCUUAGUUAUACAGAUUAUUUUGUUUAUAUUGAGUUGUAUGUAUGUACUAAUAUAUUUGAUUUAUUAAAAGAACAUCUGGACAUUCUAUGGGCUAUGGCAGUCCUGAGGAUAGUCCUGACCAUCCUACUCGGACCAUUUAAGUACAUACUAUGGAUGUUCAUUUGCUAUGUGGACAUGCCAGUUUAAUCAUAAAAACUGUAAAUUAAUGUUUAAUUUGCUUGUAGCAAUGUUUAUACUUAAGCAUAAUAUAAUAAGAAAUUAUACAAGUAAACAUAUUUUAUCACAUACUUGAAUGUUACUUACAUUAUUUUUGU